ensembl:miRNA
UGUCCCUGAGAGCCUGCAGGUGACGAGGACACCACAGAGACGGAAGUGGUGGCACCUCAGCAUCUGCAGAGGCCCCACCGGAGGAAU